GCCCCGGUGGUGUAGUCCGGUCUAGCAUCGGCGGCUGUCGCCCGCCGGACCCGGGUUCGAAUCCCGGCCGGGGCGCCA
rnacentral:tRNA from 1 species